AAUAACAGAAAAUUCAGUUAGAAACGUCGAGAUUUUCGGUAAAGCUUGGACAAAUUUCAGCAUUAUUCCGUCAUAAAACCUGGGAAAAUCCGUCAAUGCUACGAAGGUAAUGGUAUUUAGGUCGACAUCUAAACAGACUCAUCAUUUCUUUGUAUCCGGCGACGGGUGAAGAGAAGAAGAAAAGGGGAAAGAUGUUGUGGGGAAGGGAUCUCCCAGAAGAUUUGUCAAUGGAAAUCCUAUCAAGGCUUCCCGUCAAAUCAUUGAUGCGCUGCAAAUGCAUAAGCAAAUCCUGGUAUGCUCUUAUCACUAACCCUAGUUUCAUCACCAUGCACCUCACUUCUCACAAUCCCAACAGAAGGGCGGCUAUUCUUAGGCGUGGGGGUGGAUUGGAACACCUACGUCUCUCCACGCUCUCUAACGAAACCCUAGAGGUGUCUGGGAAUGUUGAUCUCUCACAAUUGUUUCUGGAUGAGGUUUCUAAGGUAUCAAUAUUCGGCCCCUGCAAUGGCAUACUUUGUUUUUCUGGUACUCUGUGGAAGAAUAGAGAUGGGCACUGUGAUUAUGGUCGUUUGGUGUUAUGGAAUCCUGCGACAAGAGAAUCGAAGUUGCUCCCCCCAUUCCCCCGGCAAUCGGAUUUAUACUUUUUUUCUAAUCUUGGCUUCGGUUUUGAUCCAAAGACUAACGAUUACAAGGUGGUUAGGAUUAUGAACUUCCGUUUCCGGCACUGCAAAGUUCAGGUAUACCACCUUAGUACUAAUUCUUGGAGGGUGCUUGAUUCAUCCCCUAACCCAUCUUAUUUUAUUCAUUUACCUCGUUUUCCCUCGUACCUAAAUGGAGUUUAUUAUUGGUGGGCUCGGGUUCGUGAAGAUGGUUACAUGGGCCGCCAACUCUUGCUUUCCUUUGAUAUGAGCAACGAGGUGUUCCAAGAGGUACUGCCUCCCCCAUCUGAAGGAAGUUGUAGUGAGGAUAUUGCUGUUAUCAAUGACUCUGUAACUAUGAUUUUACCAUGUAACAGUGAGUUGAAAGAAUGUAUUGAGAUAUGGGUGUUGAAUGAGUGUGGUGUUGAAAGGACUUGGACCAAAAUAUUAACAAUCCGACAAAUUCCAGUUUUUUGGAAUCUGCUACAGCUUCGGGAGGAUGGUUUGGUAGUUCUAACCGAUGAAGAUCAAUGUUUGGUAUUGUAUGACCCGAGAACACAAGAAGCGAGGAAUCUUCAAAUAUAUGAGGCUAGAUUCGCUCAACUUGUUAGUUACACAGAGUCCCUAGUUCGCCUAAAUGGAUAGGGGAAUGUGCUUGAGCAACAAGCCAAGUCAUAACAAGAUUCUGGACCAAUUCAAUUUCAUAUGUGCAUUACCUGCAAAAUCACAUAUUUGUUACAUUGCUUUUGGAUUCCAAGUUUCUGGAAUUAUGAGGGGUUUUUCUGUUACAUUUUAUAUGCUUCUAGCCUUUUCUGCAUAUUUAUUUAAUAAUGUUGGCUAUCUUUUGAGUGCUUCGACACAAACAUUAGCGAAUAUGAAUGAUGUAAAAGUCUUUUGAGUGUUUUGACCUUUUAAGCGUAUAAUUUCCUCUUGCUUUUUAUUGUUGCAACUUUUGCUUGGUAAUUCCCCCUCAUGUUAUUCGUUUGAAGGUUGAACAAUUAUUUAUCAAUUUCGAUAGUUGUAAUAAGAUUUUGUCUAUAUGGUUCCUGUAAGAGUUUGAGGAUAUUCACCGUUUUAGAUAUUCCAAGGUAUUUGAAGGGGGUUAGCCAAAAUCUACAGAUGAGAAUUGAAUUAAACUGUGAACAGAGUAGGGUUUUAAGAAAGAUUUUGUUUUUUCCUUCAAAGAAAUAAAACUUCUUUACUACCUUUAGAUGGUUGAGUGAAUGGAGGAAGAUGAAAGAAAAACACAGAAUUUGCAUUUUCUUUUCUCUUUAAGAGUAUCCCUUGUGACUUCAAUUUGUUAUCCCUUUUUUCUUUGAACUCUUUGUUACAUAAAAUGAUUCAUUUUCAUCCUUAGUUUGGUUGCUGGGACAAUGGAGAGUGAAAAUAGUGUUGAAAAUUGGGUCUUGGGUUUUCUGUUGAUUUUGAUGGUGUAAUUGUAAAAUUCAACCCCAACUAAGCUUACGAGUGGAAUUCUUUGUUUUUUAUCUGCCAAAUGGGUAAUAGUAUAAUAUCAGAAAUUUUCUACCAUUUCUUGGACUCUUUCAAUUUCCUUUCCUCCUGUUUUUUCUUAUGACAAAAUAUUCAAAGGGACUCCUUCAAUUGCUGAGAGAGUAAAUUGCUUAUUAGAAAAUAUUCAAGGGACUCUUUAUUAUGUUUCUGUUCCAUUUUAUAGGGACCCUAAACCCUCAAUAUUAUGUUGGAAUUGCUGAAACUGCUCUUCAUUUUUCCUUUUUGGCCAACCAGACGAAUUAUUAUGUGGGUGCCUUGCAACAUUCUUGAUGCUCGAUCCAGAAAUUUGGCAAGGGUGAUUUGAGGGCCAACAAGGAAUUUGAAACCCCCAAGGGGUUGGGCUCAAGCAGU